rnacentral:rRNA from 1 species
UACGUAGGGGGCAAGCGUUGUCCGGAAUCAUUGGGCGUAAAGCGCGUGUAGGCGGUUCGGUAAGUCUGCUGUGAAAGUCCAGGGCUCAACCCUGGGAUGCCGGUGGAUACUGUCGGACUAGAGUACGGAAGAGGCGAGUGGAAUUCCCGGUGUAGCGGUGAAAUGCGCAGAUAUCGGGAGGAACACCAAUUGCGAAGGCAGCGCGCUGGGACGUUACUGACGCUGAGACGCGAAAGCGUGGGGAGCAAACAGG